rnacentral:lncRNA from 1 species
AGAACUACUGUAAAAAUAAGUAGUCCUCAGUGGGUACCGCCCUCAACAUCAUCGGCUCACCCACUAAGACUACAGUAGGAAACAAGGCUAAAAGGUAAACCCGGAAAGAAAUCCACAACUACAUGCCACUACACUAUCCCAUUGUGUUUACUAUCAAUUCUGACCCAAUCUCAUUAGGGACUGUGUACGCACCGGUCCCACCUGUCUAAGCCGCGCUACCUCCAUGCUAAACAGUCCGUGGAUAGCAACUAAUCAGCGACAUCAACGCGAAAGCACAAAGCGAGACUCCGGAGCAGCACUCGUGGGCACGACCCAACCGAGUAUGCAAGCAUAUCUCUGUCGAGCUCAAUUAGGCUCUCACAGGCUGAAGUCAAGAAAACAGGUCUAUCAGUGCUACUAACCCCUAGUCACGUGCCCUCGGCACAAUCUGAUAUCGGAACGAUCAAAUUCUGGUCCGCCGUCAACCACUACGGCACCCACUAAUCCGGAACACUGUAAACACUACUGUAAAAAUCAGCUCGGCAUCUCAGCACGAGCGUAACUGAAAUCUGAACUACCUGGGAUACUCACUAUGAGGAUACUGCAACAGUAUAAAAAUACAACGGCCCCUAGGGCUAAAUCAAGUAGUUUAACAUAUGCUAGGUCCCGAACGUUGGUUUUCUCCUAUGUUUUAUCCAAGUCCCACAUGUAUGAUUAAUAACAGCUUAUAACAUACUCCUAAUUCAGUUAAUAUGUCUAAAACAUAGCUACUCAUGAAUUUGAGCUAAACAAUAACAACGUGCAAUAUUAACGAUACAUGUCGGCGCAUAUGGCUAUAGGAGUAGGAACCCGAUGAUAAACCCACCUCAAACGCUAAAUCCAACCCAGCGUGACAUCGAGAACGACGGAAAUGCACCCUCGCCCGGCCUCCUCGUGAUGCUACGAUGACGAAGACACGCUCAAACGGCUUCGUGGCGCGACAUCGACGACGAUCCACACCACCCGAAGCUUUCUCCACGUACGGCUCAAGAACUAUAUAGAAAAGAAAAUUAAAGCAAUGCACAGAUAUUUAAGUUGAUAAGCAUGCAUGGGGGUAAGGUGCACGUGGCAUCCUUAUCCCCAGCUAGCUUACUGACUCAAAAUAAAAUAAUAAAAAAAAUCAAGGAUACUACAUCCUUCCCUACUAUAAAAAGUUUCGUCCUCGAAACUUAAAACAUACCUCAGACCGGAGUCUCAAACAGGUAGGGGUAGGACUCUCGGAUCACCAUCUUCAGCUCCCACGUCGCCUCAUGCUUCUCGUGAUGACUCCACUGCACUUUUACAUACGGGAUGACCCAGUUGCCCAAUUCUUUCGUCUCACGAGCAAGAAUCCGCACCGGUCGCUCCUCGUAUCUCAGAUCCUCACCAAUCUCUAGUGGAGUGAAGUCAAUCACGUGAGAUGGAUCGAACACAUAUCUCCUCAAUGUUGAGACGUGGAAGACAUCAUGGAUACCUGCAAGUCGGGGUGGUAGAGCAAUCCGGUAAGCAACUGGUCCAACUCGCUCCAAUACCUCAAAAGGGCCAACGAAACAUGGACUGAGCUUUCCACGCACUCCAAAUCGGCGAAUCCUUCUGGACGGCGAGACUUUAAGAAAUACAUGAUCUCCAACCUGGAACUCCAAGUCUCGUCUCUUGGUAUCGGCGUAGCUCCUCUGGCGGCUCUGGGCUGUCAAAAGGUGUCGUCGAACAACUCUCACCUUUUCCUCAACCUCUAGCAAAAUCUGAGGCUCAAGUGUCAUUCUCUCACCUACAUCACUCCAAAACAACGGGGAUCGACACCUGCGUCCAUACAACGCCUCAAACGGAGCCAUCUGAAUGCUCGUUUGAUAGCUGUUAUUGUAUGCAAACUCUGCUAGUCUCAAGUGUCGAUACCAUCCUCCUCCAAAAUUCAGGACACAUGCCCUCAGAAUGUCCUCUAGAGUCUGAAUGGUCCGCUCCGACUGACCAUCCGUCUGCGGGUGAAACGCUGUGCUGAAAUGUAACUGAGUCCCCAAAGCUGUCUGUAAACUCAAAAAAUGUGACACAAACCUCGGGUCCUGGUCUGAUACGAUCGAUACUGGUACACCAUGUAGUCUGACAAUCUCAUCCAGAUACAACUGCACGAGUCUUUCUUUGGACCAGGUGGUCUGAACUGGUAGGAAGUGAGCAGACUUAGUCAGUCUGUCCACUAUCACCCAAAUAGCAUCAUAGCCACCUUGUGCUCUAGGCAACCCCACAACAAAAUCCAUCGUGAUCUGCUCCCAUUUCCACUCGGGCACUAACAGACUCUGAAGCUUGCCAGCAGGUACCUGAUGCUCGGUCUUUACCUGUUGACAAGUGAGACACUGAGCCACAAAUCUGCCAAUAUCCCUCUUCAUCCCGUUCUACCAGAACUGUGCCUUUAAGUCCUUAUACAUCUUGGUUCCACCAGGGUAAACCGUAUAAGGAGAACAAUAAGCCUCUCUCAAAAUAUCUGCUCGGAUCUCUGAAUCCAUAGGCAUACACAGUCGGUCCCUGUACCGUAGUACUCCCGAACUGUCCACCGCAAAACCCUCAGCCUGUCCCCGAUCUAGCUGCUCUCGAAUCCUCGACAAGUACGGAUCUCCACUCUGUUUCUCUCGGAUCCUAUCCAACAGAGUGGGCUGCAAGACCAGAGACAUCAGUCUUGCAGUAGACCCAGGGUACACCAUCUCAAGCCUCAGCCGCUGCAGUUCCUCAAGUAGCGGUCUCUGCCGAGUGAUCAACAAACUCAAGCUCUGCGCUGCCCUCCUGCUCAAUGCGUCUACCACUACAUUUGCCCUGUCGGGAUGAUACUGAAUACUAAUAUCAUAGUCUUUCAGUAACUCCAACCACCGGCGCUGCCUCAGAUUCAAUUCCUUUUGAGUGAACAGAUACUUGAGACUUUUAUGAUCGGUGAAAACCUCGCAGUGCUCGCCGUACAAGUAAUGUCGCCACAACUUCAGAGCAAAGACUACCGCAGCAAGCUCCAAGUCAUGCGUAGGGUAAUUGUUCUCAUAAUCCUUUAACUGCUGUGAAGUAUAAGCAAUUACCCUACCAUGCUGCAUCAGCACACAACCCAGUCCACUGUGCGAUACAUCACUGUAGAUCACGAAUCCUUCCCCCAUCACAGGGAGAGCAAAGAUAGGAGCUGACAUCAAUCUCUGUCUCAGCUCGUCGAAGCUCCUCUGGCAGUCCUCACACCAAACAAACCGAAUCCCCUUCCGUGUCAACCUGGUAAGGGGUGUGGAAAGCUUCGCAAAGCCCUCCACAAACCGAUGGUAAUAUUCUGUUAGUACAAGAAAACUCCUCACCUCUGUCACCGUCGUCGGUCUGGUCCAAUCCCGAAUAGCAUCAAUCUUCUUCGGGUCCACUACUACUCCCUCUGCAGAAAUCACGUGGCCCAAGAAAGCGACCUCCCGCAACCAAAACUUGCACUUCUUUAACUUGGCAUACAGCUUCUUCUCUCGCAGAAGCUGUAGCACAAUCCUCAAGUGCUCCUCAUGCUCAGCAUCAUUACGGGAGUAGAUCAGAAUGUCAUCGAUGAAGACUACCACAAAUCUAUUCAAGAACGGCUUGAACACUCUGUUCAUCAAAUCCAUGAAUGCGGCAAGGGCAUCGUCAAUCCAAAAGGCAUCACGGUAAACUCAUAAUGCCCGUACCGAGUCCGAAAAGCCGUUUUGGGAACAUCGUUGGCCCUCACCGUCAGCUGGUGGUAACUUGACUGGAGAUCAAUCUUCGAGAAGACGGAGGAUCCCUGCAGCUGAUCAAACAAAUCAUUAAUGCGCGGCAGAGGAUACUUGUUCUUGAUGGUCACUUUAUUCAGCCCCCGGUAGUCCACACAUAACCUGAGCAAACCAUCCUUCUUCUUUACAAAUAACACCGGCGCUCCUCAAGGUGAUACACUGGGUCUCACAUAUCCCUUGUCCAUCAAAUCCUGAAGCUGCGCCUUUAACUCUCUCAGCUCCGCCGGUGCCAUCCGGUAAGGUACCUUCGAGAUUGGUGUAGUUCCGGGAACCACAUCAAUCACGAACUCAAUCUCCCUCUUCGGCGGCAUCAUCGUCAACUCAGGGGGAAACAUAUCCGGAAACUCAUGAACUACAGGAAUAUCCUCGAGUCCCGGUGUCGCCGUAGGUACCUCUACUACCGUCGCCAGAAACGCGACGCAUCCUCUGCUCAUCAACUGUCGAGCCCUCGCCGACGAAAUCCAAAUGGCGAACAACGUGCUACUGCAACCUCUAAAAGUGAAUUUCUCUUGGCCUGGCUCUCGGAACAUCACAGUUCUUGCUUCACAAUCGAUAGUAGCAUAGUACCGCACCAGCCAAUCCAUGCCAAGCACAAUGUCAAAGUCCUGCAGUUUUCCUAAGACCAACAGGUCUGUGGGCAAGAUCCAAGAAUCCAACUGCACCGGACACGACCAACAACACUCUACAACCUAUAACACAUAGUCGGGGAUCUGCACCUCUCGUGUCUGCAACAAUGACCCUAACUCUAGACCAUGCAACAAUGCAAAUGCUCGGCUAACAAAAGAAUGUGUUGCACCGGUAUCAAAUAAGGUACGUGCUCGAAUACCAGAAAUUAAAAUUAUACCUGCCACCACUCGAUUGACUGCUGAAGAGUCCUCCACCUGGGCUGCAUAUAUUCUGCGACUCAGAGCCUGCUGUCGCCGCUCACCUUGUCGCGGCGCAGAUGCCCUGUCCUCCUGGCGGUAACUCUGAGGUGCUCCAAAAAUCUGCUGAGAUCCAGAUACUGCUGAAGCGGUCGAUGGCGCUGGUGAUGCUGCUCGGGGACAAGCAGACCUCAUAUGCCCCGGCUGUCCACAUCCAAAACAUCGGCCCUCACGCUGCUCACACUGCCGAGCCCAGUGCGGUCCUCCACAAAUCACACAUGGUGGUAAUCCCUGUGACUGCCUCUGCUGCCGCGAUCCUCCAGAACGCUGACGCCCCGAGAACUCACGACCCUGAGAACGCGACCGUGGAGGUCUCGGCGGAUGCCGGCUACUCGACUGUCCACCCUCAUCUGGAGCUGAGCGCUUCCUGUCCUGACUCUGCCCUGCAGCCUGAGUCCUCUCCCGAAUAGAUAUAUCACCUCUCUCAACCCAAAGUGCCUGCUCCAUCGAUGCGUCCAAGGUCAUCAAUCUCUGCGCCUGAACAAAUCAAAAAAUCUCGGGCCUCAAACCCUGCUCGAAAAGGUAUACCCUGUGUGCCUCGUCUCUAGCCACAAACGGCACACAGUUCAGGAGUCGCGUGAACUCUCGAAUAUACUACUGUACUGUCUGGUCCCCCUGCUGGAUCUUCUUUAAAUCCUCCUCGAGUUUCUGUUUCAUACUGUUGGAAAAAUACAUCCCAUACAGCAUUCCACAGAACUCGUCCCAUGUCAUCUGCAAAGUCACCAACUGGUAAUCUCUCCUCACUCUCUGCCACCAAGCAAGGGCAUCCCCUGUCAAGCAAUGCACUCCCAGAUGUACCUGCUCCCGCUCAGGAAUGAAAUGAUUCUCAAAUAACUUCUCCAUCGAGCUGACCCAGUCCUCAACAACCCAAGCCUCUGUGCAUUGGCCCUCCAAAGUCGGUGGAUCGAAACGAUGAAAGCGAGCGAGUCUCUCAGCCAUCUGCUCCUGCUCAGCAUCGAUCAUUUGUAAUGCCUCACCAACCGGCGCAACUGGAACUGAAGGAACGGUCACUGGUGGUGGUACUACUGUAGCUGGUGCUGCCGCUGGAGCAGUCGGAGGUGGAACUAUCUGCUCUGGUACGGUACUCUGUGGCGGGGUGACCCUCUCACACAACCUCUCCAAUAACUCCCCUUGCCGCCUCGUCACUUCUGUCAGAGCGGCCAACUGAGCACUCAAGUCGGGGGAUGCGCUCGCCUCUGGUCGUGUACUCUGCUCCUGCCGGGCACUCGGCUCUGCCUGCUCAGGCAUCUCGGAGGGUCCCACACGAUCCUGCGUCAACUGUGCCCGGUCCCGUGUCGACGGUCGGCCUCGACGACGAUACAUAGCUGCAAAAAUAAAACAGGGUUAGAUAACACAAAUACUCUCGACCCAAUCAACGAAAGUCCGGAAGGCAGCCCCUGUUUCUCCUCAAAAUUAUGUUGUCUGCAGCCAACAUAAUUUUGCAGGCUAGAACAGGCACUCCUCCAAUCACUCACUCCCCUCAGGGUGACUUACAACAACUAAUCAUUGACUUUCGUAAUAAAUCACGCCUCUCCCGUCUUGCUUUCCUAAGGUUUGCCAAACUUAGGUUUCCUAGGUCCCAAUGACCUAAUGCUAAUCUCUGAUACCAACUUAAUCUGUCACGCCCCGGAUUACACGUUCCCCGGGCACGCCGACAAAUCCGCCGUAUACAAAAUUUUUUUUUCUGUAUACGAAGCGAUAGCUGUCUCUGUAAAAUAUACAAUACUACAAACAGUAGUGUAGAGCUGCUACCUGCAGCUGGUGAUCCUCUAGCACAGCGUUUCGUCGGGUAGGGCUCUAGCUCGCGACGGCCUUGCCUCGAUCCGCCUCUGAAGACGCAGCAGCCGGAACAGUAGGCUCUGCAAAACACAGGAUAACAACUGGGCGUGAGAACUACUGUAAAAAUAAGUAGUCCUCAGUGGGUACCGCCCUCAACAUCAUCGGCUCACCCACUAGUAAAAAUAAGUAGUCCUCAGUGGGUAUCGCCCUCAACAUCAUCGGCUCAACAUUAGUGGGUACUGCCCUCAACAUCAUCGGCUCACCCACUAAGACUACAGUAGGAAACAAGGCUAAAAGGUAAACCCGGAAAGAAAUCCACAACUACAUGCCACUACACUAUCCCACUGUGUUUACUAUCAAUUCUGACCCAAUCUCAUUAGGGAUUGUGUACGCACCCGUCCCGCCUGUCUAAGCCGCGCUACCUCCACGCCAAACAGUCCGUGGAUAGCAACUAAUCAGCGACAUCAACGCGAAAGCACAAAGCCAGACUCCAGAGCGGCACUCGUGGGCUCGACCCAACCGAGUAUGCAAGCGUAUCUCUGUCGAGCUCAAUCAGGCUCUCACAGGCUAAAGUCAAGAAAACAGGUCUAACAGUACUACCAACCCCUAGUCACGUGCCCUCGGCACAAUCUGAUAUCGGAACGAUCAAAUCCUGGUCCGCCGUCAACCACUACGGCACCCACUAAUCCGAAACACUGUAAACACUACUGUAAAAAUUGGCUCAGCAUCCCAGCACGAGCGUAACUGAAAUCUGAACUAUCUGG